CUGGAGGUUGAGGUGGGAGGAUAGCUGGAGCCUGGGAAGGCGACGCAGCAGUGAGCCGUGAUCGUACCACUGCACUCCAGCCUGGGUGACAGAAGGAGACCCUGUCUCAUAAAUCGAUCAAUCAAUAAAUACAUACAUACAUACAGAAGGAUAUUCUUCAGUUUUCCUGAUCCGCUUAAGGAGGUGGCUAAGAAUUCCAAGGCCAGCCAGUUAUCUCAGAAGCAAUUUGACUGACAGCGAAGACACGAUAAAUAACCAAAUGAGGUGAACUGAGGCUGCCAUUUACACGGAACAUAAACAGUGUCCCCUGGAAUUGCACAAGGUGGUAGCCUUCCUCUAGGCACAUCUGGCUUCCAAUCAACCUACAAGGCAAACUGAAUUCCAGCCCUUUAGUUUCCGAAGUCCCCUUGUUUCACUUCUCCAUUGCCAUGUAUCAAACCAUUCCAAAACGUGUGGUUAAAACAGUAUUCUCAUAAUUCUCUGGGUUAACAGGACUCAGCUAGAUGUCUUUAGUGUCAUGUGGUACCAGCAAGGGCCACUCAUGAGGGUGCGUUCAGCUGGGAGUCUGGCGGGGUUGAAACCUUCAAGAGACACAAGUCUGGGCUUUUAGUGCUGUGACUAGAGCACCUUGGUUCUCCUAUGCAUCGUCUCUCACCAUUCAGUAAUUUAGCCCAAGCUUCUCGUUUGGAAACGUGUCAGCUUAUUUUCAAGAGCAAAAGUGGAAGCUGCCAAAAUAUCACUUCCAUAUCCUAUUAGUCAAAACAAGUCACAAGUUCAGCCCUCACUGUAGAAAAAAAUAGACCUUAUUGGAAAUAGCACGUGCACAGAGGAUGAGAGCAACUGUUGGUGGCCAUCUUUGGAGAUGAUCUACCACACCUCUAAAUUUGUGAGAUAAGAGUGUAGGUUUCUGAUAACUUUGGAAUUGAAUGUAUGGUAAGCUGUUUGCAGAAACAAAUGUCCAAUUAAGAACAAAGACUGGUUUCUUGGAAUGAACAUGACUUGUCGAGGAUAAAGAUGUUUAUAUCUCACAUGGAACAUUUGUGAGGAGCCAUGGAGCCAGAGUUGUACAAUAGUACAGGUUAUUUUCUCCAUUCUUGGGCACAAGUAAACAAAUCCGCAAACCCCCAAAUGGUAACAACAUGACCUGGACUUAAAGGUAUUGCACAAGAGGUUAGGGGCAAACUGAUGUUUUGGCACCAGGGACAUUUCUCAUCGCUGGGCAAUCCUUUGUUUCCUUCUUGGUGACAUUCAUUGGGAUUUUGUUGCAGAUACCACACAGGAAGAAGGCUAUUAAACUGCCCCUAUCAGCAGGAAACAGUCUGGAGGAGGCAGUCACACAUAAUUUUGUGAAAGAAAGUGCUGAGGCAAAACCAGCUGAGGUCCGAUUCCAUGAUCCCAAUGAACAGCAAAGCAAAGGGUGGCUUCUAGAAGUCCUAGCACACAUCACAUACUAUCAUUCAGCAAAGUAGUUUUCAUAUUUUAUUCUCAUGACAUUCAACACUUUGAUAUGCUGUACAUAUGUGCACCUGUGAGACACAAGAGGUAGAGGAAACUAAUGCUGAGAGCCUCAGUGAGCCAGGCCUUCUCCCUGCUGCCAUUCUUUUCACUUGAUGGGAUUGGUUAUUUGAGCUUGAGCACACUAAACUAGUUGAGGGUUGUAUGGUAAAAGGAUUCCUGCUGUCUCACUGGGGCUUUUUCUCAAACCAGGGUUUCUUAACUCCAUGUCCAAGAAUGGACUUCAACGGCACAAUUUCCUCAACUAUAGACAAAUGUGUGCAUAUUUACAAGGGUGAUUUUUAAAAAUCCAGUGCUUUAAUUAGAGUCUCAAGGACAGAAGAAAAAAGUGGUAAAAGGAUCAUGGCUGAGCUGUGCUGCUUGAUCCUGGUACAGCUCGAGACUUUGUUUUGACCCACCCCACCCAGAACUAUAGGGACAAAUCAGUACAAAUCAAAGUUGAGGACAAGUCAAAAGCAUCACCUUGUCAUUUAAAGGUUAUACCACACUGUUAAAAGUUACUUGGCUGGGCGCACUGGCUUAAAAAUCAGUCCUUUUUACUGUAAUGAGUUAAUUUGGUUAAUAAUUAAAAAAUAAUAAGAAAAAAUAUAAAAAGAAAAUCCUUUUGCCUGAAAGUUUUCACCAGUUUCAUUAUUAUCCUUGUAAUGGAAGCCAUUAGAAACAAAUCCAACUAGAAGGGAGAGGAUGAUUCAUCAUUAAGGAAUCAAAAAUAGUGGAAGAAAACGGUAGAGGGGAGGGUGCAGGCUAUCAAGGUAGACAGACCAGAAUUGAAGUUUCUGGCUUUGCUGCUUACUUCCACCUUGGAUUCCAGGUCUCCUUUGGCAAACCAGUGUACCCAUCUACUGUACAGGGCUAAUAUGAGGGUCAAAUGAGGCAGUAUGAAGGUACAGUGACAACCAUAUGGGAAGCAACCAAUAGAGUAGGUACUUCCAUUGAGCAGGUUUCAGGAAUAAUUUCAGACUUUUGCUCUUCUAAUAAAGGAGCUUAAGCAGCUAAGCUUCUGUUAUGCAGAUAAGAGGGAGUUAAAAGCUGGGUGCAGAGGCUCACGGCUGUAAUCCCAGCACUUUGGGAGGAUGAGGCGGGUGAUCACUUGAGGUCAAGAGUUUGAGACUGGCCUGGCCAACAUGGCAAAACCCUGUCUCUACUAAACAUACAAAAAUUAGCCAGGUGGCCUGCACCUGUAAUCCCAGCUACUUGAGAGGCUGAGGCAGGAGAAUCACUGGAAUCCAGGAGGCAGACAUUGCAGUGAGCUGAGAUCAUGCCACUGCAUUCCGGACUGGAUGAUAGAGUGAGACUGUCUUUUUUUAAAAAAAAAAAAAAAAAAAAAAAAAAAAAUAGGUCGGGUGCAGUGGCUCACGCCUGUAAUCCCAGCACUUUGGGAGGCCAAGGUGGGCGGAUCACCUGAGGUCAGGAGUUCGAGAUCAGCCUGACCAACAUGACGAAACCCUGUCUCUACUAAAAAUACAAAAAUUAGCUGGGCAUGGUGACAGGCACCUGUAAUCCCAGCUAUUCGGAAGGCUGAGACAGAAGAAUCACUUGAACCCGGGAGGCAGAGGUUGUGAGCCAAAACUGCGCCACUGCACUCCAACCUGGGCAACAGAGCCAGACUCUGACUCAAAAAAAAAAAAACGGAAUGAAAUGGGAUAGUCUCAUGCAAAGUUGCCAAGGCAAGUGAAACUCUGUUUCCACACCUGUGGGGGUUUAAAUGAGAUAAUAAAUCCUUUUAUUUUUAGGGAGUAAAGUGGGAUGGCAAAGCGAGUGGAGACCUGGGAUCAGGACUGUGCAAAAAACUUCAACUGUAUGGGUUCUCACCACUACUGGUCACAGUGAGUGAAACCAUUCCAGCACAUACAAUUCCCAGCCUCCUCCUUUCCACCAUACGGAGGUUAGUGCUCAGCCACCCUUUUCCUGUGCUGGGUAUAUCUUACAUGAAAAUGCAGCUAUUUUCAAAAAGAAUAAUUUCAACCUGCGAGAGAGUCAAUAAUUAGAGGUGACACUGCUCAAUACUGGUGAAUGAGCUUGGAGAUGAGAAGGAAUGUCUGUUCCCAUCUCCUACAGGCAUCAACUGUACCCCCAUAUAUCCUAAUUUCCUAUUGGUUCCUUUGCCCCUAAAAUCAGUGGAAAAUGGCACUUAGUGAAAGAAUGGGUAAUACUGACUAAUCAUUGCUACGUAUACUGAUUAGCUGGAACCAAAGUGAGGCAGAUCAAAUUUGUGCCACCAUCUAGAGAAGUUCAGAGUGAGCACUCCCUUGAUCUUUACAGACAGCCUGUAUCACAGGGAAAAACAUUCCAUAGCCACAAACCACAUCCCUCAACAGUUUACUGCUAGGGAAAGCAAAUCCCAAGUGCAUUUACUAUUAGUAGCAGAUCGUGUGCAUCAUUUUCAUAUAUAAAUGAGAGCCCCCAGAUGAAACAGACUUGAGCAGAGAACAUGCUUUAUUGAGGAGUAGAUAUAGAAGAGCACAUUCUACCACAUGUGGGGAAGGGUUUAGCUUCUGUAAAAGGCCUUUAUCCCUUAAG
rnacentral:lncRNA from 10 species